rnacentral:rRNA from 1 species
GUAAAGCGAAUGAUUAGCGUACUCGGGGGCAAUUUGCCUUUGGACGAUUCUCAAACUUAAAAUGCGCACGGAUGUUGCCGCUUGGGUGGGCGGCAUCUCUAAAAAAUUGGGCUUUGUGGGCCACUUUUGGUAAGCAGAACUGGCGAUACGGGAUGAACCGUAAGUGUGGUUAAGGCGUCAAAUUGUCCGCUUAUAGAUUCCAAAAAAGGUGUUGAUUCAUUAAGACAGCAGGACGGUGGCCAUGGAAGUCGGAAUCCGCUAAGGAGUGUGUAACAACUCACCUGCCGAAUGAAUUAGCCCUGAAAAUGGAUGACGCUAAAGCGGGCAGCCGACACCACACCGUUUGGGCAAAAAUGAACCAAAUGAGUAGGAGGAACGUGGUGGUUGUGUUGAAGCGUGCGUGCAAACGUGCGUGGAACGGCCACUAGUGCAGAUCUUGGUGUUAGUAGCAAAUAUUCAAACGAGAACCUUGAAGGGCGAAGCGGGGAAGGGUUCCACGCGAACAUUGAUUGAGCGUGGGUAAGUCGUUCCUAAGCCGCGUGGCAAUAGCUAAUUAUCGGCGAAAGGGAAGCAGGUUGAUAUUCCUGCACAUGGAUGUGGGAGCGGUGACGCAUUUCUGGGGCGGUGAAGCUGGCGAGGGCCCUGGGCAGAGUUUUCUUUUCUGUUUAACCUCCUGUGCUCGCAGUGUGGAAUCCGAUUGUCGGGAGAAACACGCGGGACUGGGAAUAGCGCCGGGUUUUUUUCCGGCGUCCAGAACGCCCUCGUCGGACCUUGAAAAACCGUCUGUAGGCUACCUUAGUAGCUGUAGAAAACCACGCCAUGACGUACCGAUAACCGCAGCAGGUCUCCAAG